GUUGUCAAGCCUCUGCUUAAAGACCUCCAAAGAAGGAGACUCCACCACACUCCUUGGCAGCAAAUUCCACUGUCGAACAGCUCUUACUGUCAGGAAGUUCUUCCUAAUGUUUAGGUGGAAUCUUCUUUCUUGUAGUUUGGAUCCAUUGCUCUGUGUCCGCUUCUCUGGAGCAGCAGAAAACAACCUUUCUCCCUCCUCUAUAUGACAUCCUUUUAUAUAUUUGAACAUGGCUAUCAUAUCACCCCUUAACCUCGUCUUCUCCAGGCUAAACAUGCCCAGCUCCCUUAGCCGUUCCUCAUAAGGCAUCGUUUCCAGGCCUUUGACCAUUUUGGUUGCCCUCCUCUGGACACGUUCCAGUUUGUCAGUGUCCUUCUUGAACUGUGGUGCCCAGAACUGGACACAGUACUCCAGGUGAGGUCUGACCAGAGCAGAAUACAGUGGCACUAUUACUUCCCUUGAUCUAGAUGCUAUACUCCUAUUGAUGCAGCCCAGAAUUGCAUUGGCUUUUUUAGCUGCCGCGUCACACUGUUGGCUAAUGUCAAGUUUGUGGUCAACCAAGACUCCUAGAUCCUUUUCACAUGUACUGCUCUCAAGCCAGGUGUCACCCAUCUUGUAUUUGUGCCUCUCAUUUUUUUUGCCCAAGUGCAAUACUUUACAUUUCUCCCUCUUAAAGUUCAUCUUGUUUGUUUUGGCCCAGUUCUCUAAUCUGUCAACGUCGUUUUGAAGUGUGAUCCUGUCCUCUGGGGUGUUAGCCACCCCUCCCAGUUUGGUGUCAUC